rnacentral:piRNA from 1 species
AUUACACAUGUGCUUCCAUACAGUGGUU